rnacentral:tRNA from 1 species
GCCUGGGUAGCUCAGUCGGUUAAGCAUCAGACUUCGGCUCAGGUCAUCAUCUUACGGCUCGUGGGUUCGAGCCCCACGUCGGGCC